UCUAAUUUCUUUCAAUUUUAAUCACUCCAAUUCAAUUGUUGAUUUCAAUUAUAACCAAUAUCUAUUCAAACUCUAGCCUAUCUAAUUCAAUUCAAAAUCAUCAAGUCUCUUAAUCCUAACUGUUGAUCUCGUUAUAUUUAAUCCUGACCGCUCAUCUUAAAAUAUUUCUACGGUUUAGAAUUUCUAAUUUCUUUCCUAUUUGUGGCUUAGAAGACCUUAACCCUAAAAAAAAAUCUGCCUCCUCAAUCUCUCUUCCUCUCCAGCCAGCAGUGAGGAGGACGAAGCCAGCUGCUUCAGCUGCUCCGAGCAGCGACCUGCGGACCGACGAACUCCGCCCCCUCCAAAGGAGAAACCCCUUUGCCUCUCUCUUCUCUCUUGCCGGUAAGAACGACAGCAAGAGCAGCGCUGCUCCUCCUCUUUCACCUCUCGUUUCCGGCAACAACUCCAGCAGCAGCGAUUGGAGGCUGGUCCGAUUGACGAGCCGCCUCUCCCCUCUUCUCCGACCAGAAUCAACAACUAGCAGGUCUAGCCGGCGAGCAACGACAACCAACAGCGAUAGCAGAUAGCCACAGGCGAACUCCGGCAAGCCAGCUGAUUGGUAACCUUGGAACUCCGAAAAUGAUGGUUUGCUAUGAUAAAUUUGCUAAGGAAAUUAGUCUAUGAAUAUGUGAGGUAGGUAGGUGAUUGCAUAUGGCAAUUGUCAUGCGCAUAAUUGUAUUUCCUUAGUUGUUUGUAAUAGUUGAGUUACAGCUUAUUUACAGAUUAUAAAUUUGCUAAGGAAAAAAUUCCCUUCACUCACUAAUAGACUUAUAAUUUUAUAUUGA